CCUACGGGAGGCAGCAGUGGGGAAUAUUGGACAAUGGGGGGAACCCUGAUCCAGCCAUGCCGCGUGUGUGAAGAAGGCCCUCGGGUUGUAAAGCACUUUCAGUGAGGAAGAACGCCUGGUGGUUAAUACCCAUCAGGAAAGACAUCACUCACAGAAGAAGCACCGGCUAACUCCGUGCCAGCAGCCGCGGUAAUACGGAGGGUGCGAGCGUUAAUCGGAAUUACUGGGCGUAAAGCGCGCGUAGGUGGCUUGAUAAGCCGGUUGUGAAAGCCCCGGGCUCAACCUGGGAACGGCAUCCGGAACUGUCAAGCUAGAGUGCAGGAGAGGAAGGUAGAAUUCCCGGUGUAGCGGUGAAAUGCGUAGAGAUCGGGAGGAAUACCAGUGGCGAAGGCGGCCUUCUGGACUGACGCUGACACUGAGGUGCGAAAGCGUGGGUAGCAAACAGGAUUAGAUACCCUAGUAGUC
rnacentral:rRNA from 1 species